rnacentral:rRNA from 1 species
AUGGCUAGCUCCAGCGCCGCCACCGCCGCCUUUCCUCUCAUUCCCAUCGCUGACAAGCUUCACCGGGGAAAUUACCUGGUGUGGCGCGCGCAAGCCCUAGCCACCAUCCGAGGAGCGCAGCUGAUCGACCACCUCAACCCCGAUCAUCCAUUCCCGAAGCCCAAGCUUGCUGACAAGGAUGGCAAGCCAACCGAUGUGCCCAACCCGGCGCAUCUCAUUGCACUGGCGCAAGACUCUCAGGUGUUGAGCUUCAUCUUCAACUCGACCUCAGCCCCUGUGAUGAUCCAGGUCGCCCACUGCACCAAGGCCGCAGCAGCAUGGACCGCCAUCAGGGAGAUGUUCCUCUCCCAGACGCAGGCCAACAUCGUCAACAUGCGGAUCGCCCUCUCCAACACCAAAAAGGGCACCACGACCAUCGCCGACUACAUCGGGCGCAUGAAGGCGCUGGGCGACGAGAUGGAUUCAGUAGGAAAGCCGCUCAACGAUGAUGACAUGGUCUCCUACAUCCUCGCUGGACUAGACUACGACUACAUCUCGUUUGUCUCUUCCAUCUGUGCUGCGAGGACGAAACCGAUCAAGGUAGCAGAACUCUACUCUCAGUUGAUUGGUUUGAGAAACACCUUGCUAUGUUCGAAGGUGGCAACCACUCCUCCUAGUCCUCGUCCAACGCCGUCUCCCGUGGUCGUGGUUUCGGCCGAGGUGGAGGUGGCCGCGACAAUGGUGGUCGAGGCAACGGAGGAGGUGGACGCGGCAACAGAGGCCGUGGCAAUGGAGGCGGUGGCCGCGGCAAUGGAGGUCGCGACAACGGCAACGGCAACGGAGGGGUUGAUGAUCUUCAUGAAGUCACCUGCCAGAUCUGCAAGAGGCAAAACCACACCGCCCUCGAAUGCUAUCGCCGCUUCGACAUCUCCUUCACCAAGAAUGACAAGAGCGCAGGGUCGGCCACCAGUUCUUCCUAUGGAGUGGACACAAAUUUGUACCUUGAUACAGGGGCUACCGAUCACAUCACCAGCGAGCUUGACAAGCUGA